rfam:Rattus norvegicus chromosome 4, whole genome shotgun sequence.
GGGGAUUUAGCUCAGUGGUAGAGCGCUUGCCUAGCAAGCACAAGGCCCUGAGUUCGGUCCCCAGCUCCG